AAAAUCGUGAAAAUCAUGAAAUCAAGAGGAAAGUGUGUUUCGAGGUUGUCAUCCGCAAAGUGACUCUAGGGAAAUAAAACGGCGCUGAUCUUGCACAAUAAUUACAGGACUCAUAUAAAAUAGUUCACGGGGUGUGUCGCCCUGGGAUACCACAUAAAAGCAACUAUUCUAGUCUAUUCUAUCGUUGAAAGCAUUUACCGUGUAC